rnacentral:rRNA from 1 species
AACGAACGCUGGCGGCAGGCUUAACACAUGCAAGUCGAACGCGUGUAGCAGUACACGAGUGGCGCACGGGUGAGUAACGCGUGGAUAUCUGCCUUUUGGUCUGGAAUAACCCCGGGAAACUGGGGCUAAUACCGGAUGGUUCCUUCGGGAUAAAGGUUUAUCGCCAAAAGAUGAGUUCGCGUACGAUUAGCUAGUUGGUGAGGUAAUGGCUCACCAAGGCGACGAUCGUUAGCUGGUCUGAGAGGACGAUCAGCCACACUGGGACUGAGACACGGCCCAGACUCCUACGGGAGGCAGCAGUGGGGAAUAUUGGACAAUGGGGGCAACCCUGAUCCAGCCAUGCCGCGUGAGUGAUGAAGGCCUUCGGGUUGUAAAGCUCUUUUGGCGGGGACGAUGAUGACGGUACCCGCAGAAUAAGCCCCGGCUAACUUCGUGCCAGCAGCAGCCGCGGUAA